rnacentral:lncRNA from 1 species
AUGCGCGGGGAGGAGGAGGGCGGCGGGGAGCUCCUCGCUCCUCCCGGGAUGCGCCGCCUCGGGCUGCCUCCUCCUCCUCCCCCUCCUCUCUUCAGGGCCUCCCCACUGUCCGGAGGUGCCGCCCGGACGUCCCGCUCGCCGUCCCCCGCCCCUCUCCCCGCACAGGCCCCGCCGGCGGCCGGCAAGACCCGAGGGCGGCGGGGGAUUCCGGCCCGGCCUCCUCUCCUCUUCUCUCCCCGGGGCCUGCUGCACGAUCUCCGCGGGGAGAGGCCUGAGCAGCCCCGGGAAGGUCACGGGCGGCGUGCAGCCGGGCACGGAGCGGCUCCCCCCGGCCCCGCUCCUACAGCCGCCGGCCCAGCCUCAGCCUCAGCGGCCGCUGGGUGCCGCGCUCCGCCCGGGCUCGCUCCGUGCCGCUGCCCGGUGCCGCCUCCGGCUCGGAGUGCCAGGCUGCCCCCUUCCCUUUCUUCCUUCCUUCCUUCCUUCCUUCCUUGCCUCCCGCCCCUUCCCCGCUGCCAGCCUUCCCCCGCCCGGUGCCAGGCUGCCCCCUGCGGGUCUCGCCGCCCACCGCCGGCAGUGCUCCAGUGCCGGCAGAGGGGUGCUAGCCGCCGCCGCUGCUGCUCUGCCCCGGGCUCAGCGGCAGCUGCAGUGACUGUGUGUCUGUGUCAUGUCUGUGCAUGGGCGGGAGGAGGCGCGGCGCCGAGGCGGAGCCAGCCCGCUGACACACCGCCCAGCGACAGGCAACGAGCGCCCAACCAGCGGCAGCCGCGCACCGAGCGGCGCCCCCGGGCCGCUACACCUGGGUCGGGCCGGGUCGGGCCAGGCCGGAGCGGGAGGGGCGGAGAGGGGCGAGCCGACCCCGCGCCUCAGCGUGCGUGCGAUGCUGAGGGAAGUGUCUAAAGCGCUAUGGGAAGCACAAGCAGGACAGAAAUCCCAGGAGGGGAGCCAGUGUGAAUGCAGUUCUGAAGACAUUGAUCCCCUCCUAGGAUGGAAGAGGAAGGAAAGUAGGCACGUGCUUUGGGUAACAAU